rfam:Pelecanus crispus contig94250, whole genome shotgun sequence.
UAGCUCAGUUGGUUAGAACAUGGUGCUAAUAACGCCAAGUUUGCAGGUUCAAUCCCUGC